rnacentral:rRNA from 1 species
GACGAACGCUGGCGGCGCGCCUAAUACAUGCAAGUCGAACGGUCUUUUCUAUGGAAGCUUGCUUCCACUGAGAAGAUAGUGGCGAACGGGUGAGUAACACGUGGGUAACCUGCCCAUAAGAGGGGGAUAACAUCCGGAAACGGGUGCUAAUACCGCAUAGUUUUCUUGAUCGCAUGAUCGAGAAAGGAAAGACGGCCUUUGUGCUGUCGCUUAUGGAUGGACCCGCGGCGUAUUAGUUAGUUGGUGAGGUAACGGCUCACCAAGACGAUGAUACGUAGCCGACCUGAGAGGGUGAUCGGCCACAUUGGGACUGAGACACGGCCCAAACUCCUACGGGAGGCAGCAGUAGGGAAUCUUCCGCAAUGGACGAAAGUCUGACGGAGCAACGCCGCGUGAGUGAAGAAGGUUUUCGGAUUGUAAAACUCUGUUGUCAGAGAAGAACAAGUCGGAGAGUAACUGCUCCGGCCUUGACGGUAUCUGACCAGAAAGCCACGGCUAACUACGUGCCAGCCGCCGCAGUAACAC